UACUUUUUCCUUUUGCUUGGUCCAGAUA
rnacentral:piRNA from 1 species